UACAGAGGUCUCAAGCGUUGUUCGGAUUCAUUGGGCGUAAAGGGUGCGUAGGUGGCGCGGUAAGUCGGGUGUGAAAUCUCGGAGCUUAACUCCGAAACUGCAUUCGAUACUGCCGUGCUUGAGGACUGGAGAGGAGACUGGAAUUUACGGUGUAGCGGUGAAAUGCGUAGAUAUCGUGAGGAAGACCAGUGGCGAAGGCGGGUCUCUGGACAGUUCCUGACGCUGAGGCACGAAGGUCAGGGGAGCAAACGGG
rnacentral:rRNA from 1 species